UAUGACCAGGGCUACACACGUGCUACAAUGGGCAGUACAGAGGGAAGCAAAAUCGCGAGAUCAAACAAAUCCCAGAAAGCUGUCCGUAGUCCGGAUCGGAGUCUGCAACUCGACUCCGUGAAGUCGGAAUCGCUAGUAAUCGCGAAUCAGCAUGUCGCGGUGAAUACGUUCCCGGGCCUUGUACACACCGCCCGUCACACCAUGGGAGUUUGUUGCACCAGAAGCAGGUAGUCUAACCGAAAGGAGGGCGCUUGCCACGGUGUGGCCGAUGACUGGGGUG
rnacentral:rRNA from 1 species